AUUGAACGCUGGCGGCAUGCCUAACACAUGCAAGUCGAACGGUAACAGGUCAAGUGAUCCCUUCGGGGUGAGUGAGAUGCUGACGAGUGGCGGACGGGUGAGUAAUGCGUAGGAAUCUACCUUCAAGUGGGGGAUAGCCCGGAGAAAUCCGGAUUAAUACCGCAUGUUCUCUACGGAGAAAAGCGGGCCUCUGUUUCAAGCUCGCGCUUGAAGAUGAGCCUACGUCGGAUUAGCUAGUUGGUAGGGUAAAGGCCUACCAAGGCGACGAUCCGUAGCUGGUUUGAGAGGAUGAUCAGCCACACUGGGACUGAGACACGGCCCAGACUCCUACGGGAGGCAGCAGUGGGGAAUAUUGGACAAUGGGCGCAAGCCUGAUCCAGCAAUGCCGCGUGUGUGAAGAAGGCCUGCGGGUUGUAAAGCACUUUUAUCGGGAAAGAAAAGCUUAGGGCUAAUACCUCUAAGCCUUGACGGUACCCGAUGAAUAAGCACCGGCUAACUCCGUGCC
rnacentral:rRNA from 1 species